rnacentral:misc_RNA from 1 species
CCUCCGUAGGUGAACCUGCGGAGGGAUCAUUACAGAGUUCAUGCCCUACCGGGUAGAUCUCCCACCCUAUGUUAUUAUUACUUUGUUGCUUUGGCGGGCCGUUAGGCUCCGGCCCGACUACCGGCCCCGGCUGGUAGGCGCCCGCCAGAGGACCCAAAACCCUGAAUAUUAGUGUCGUCUGAGUACUAUAUAAUAGUUAAAACUUUCAACAACGGAUCUCUUGGUUCUG